rnacentral:pre_miRNA from 10 species
CCGCGACUUUAACAUGGAGGCACUUGCUGGGACCUGACCAAAAAUAAGUGCUUCCAUGUUUUAGUGUGG